GAURCCUCUUGCUGGUUCUCAARCUAUGGACGAYGARCAGUUAAAGWUGUUUCAGCAAAUGGCGGCAGGUAGCGGAGUAUCAAAGCGGAAAGAACCCGAUGGCGGGUGGGAUGGAGAUCGGAUUAAUUACAAACGUCAUCCGUCAUGGCAGUAGAAACACAUUCUUGCGUUGCCUGGUGGAGACCUCCGAUUGGUGGCCGAAGUGGUUUGAGGGUUUGGAGAAAAAUAUGCCCCCCAUCUUGUUUAUGAGACCUGCCUUCCUUAUUUGUAUUGGGGGUGUGUAAUGAAUGCAUUGCAUUGUUGGUUGAAAUAGUUAUCAAUGUUUUAACUUGUUGAAAAGCUUUUGCCUACCCGAAACAAGCCAAGGAAUUGAUUUCAACACACACACACAUACACGCAUUCAUAGAGGAACAUCAUGUAACCAUUCAUCUGUUUGAAGUUGUUUCUUGGUUUGUGUGCA